GAAGCCCUGGGGUUUCGCGUGGAUAGGUCAUUUUUUUACCAACACAUCAUAAAAGGGAUGCUUACUCCGAAAGUGGCGCAUAUGCCUCCUUUCACUUCGGUGACUGCCAGUGGACAUGUAAAGCGAUCGGGAAGCGACCCACCUGCUAAGGCAGGUAGAAUCUUGACUUUUAAUCACGGUUACUCUGGGGAUCUU
rnacentral:other from 1 species